rnacentral:rRNA from 1 species
CACGUAGUUAGCCGGUGCUUAUUCUUCAGGUACCGUCAUUAGCCGUGGAUAUUAGCCACAGCCGUUUCUUCCCUGACAAAAGAGCUUUACAACCCGAAGGCCUUCUUCACUCACGCGGCAUUGCUGGAUCAGGCUUGCGCCCAUUGUCCAAAAUUCCCCACUGCUGCCUCCCGUAGGAGUCUGGACCGUGUCUCAGUUCCAGUGUGGCUGGUCGUCCUCUCAGACCAGCUACUGAUCGUCGCCUUGGUGAGCCUUUACCUCACCAACUAGCUAAUCAGAUAUCGGCCGCUCCAGGAGCACAAGGUCCGAAGAUCCCCUGCUUUCAUCCGUAGAUCGUAUGCGGUAUUAGCGUAACUUUCGCUACGUUAUCCCCCACUCUUGGGUACGUUCCGAUAUAUUACUCACCCGUUCGCCACUCGCCGCCAGGUUGCCCCGCGCUGCCGUUCGACUUGCAUGUGUAAAGCAUGCCGCCAGCGUUCAAUCUGAGCCAGGA